AACCACCCAAACAAGACAGCCAUUCUCACUCCCCUCAGACCACCGCUCGGAGAGGCUGCUGUCCGACGGGUGCUCCAUGCUAAAUAACCCCUAUUCUUAGUUCACCGUGACUUGGUGGCCUGAGCCAGGUGAAAAGACAAUCGAUCCAAAGAGACUACUGGUGCUCAAAGCUUCACUAACGAGGCGACUUUUUGGCAAAUCGGGCAUCUUCAACCGGGAGAACUUGGCUGAGUACAAAAGGGCUUUUGAAGCGGUGAGUGUAAAUUCAGACUCCUUUUUUUUCUUCCUUCCUUCCUUUCUUCGCCCUCUCUCUUCUCCUGUG
rnacentral:lncRNA from 1 species